AUUGAACGCUGGCGGCAGGCCUAACACAUGCAAGUCGAGCGGAGUGGCGAACGGGUGAGUAACACGUGGGGACCUGCCCUGCACUUCGGGCUAAGCCUGGGACACUGGGUCUAAUACCGGAUAUUGUGGGAUGGGCCCGCGGCCUAUCAGCUUGUUGGUGGGGUAGUGGCCUACCAAGGCGACGAUCCGUACCUGGUCUGGGAGGAUGAUCAGUCACACUGGAACUGAGACACGGUCCAGACUCCUACGGGAGGCAGCAGUGGGGAAUAUUGGACAAUGGGCGAAAGCCUGAUCCAGCCAUGCCGCGUGUGUGAAGAAGGUCUUCGGAUUGUAAAGCACUUUAAGUUGGGAGGCGUUACCAACAGAAUAAGCACCGGCUAACUUCGUGCCAGCAGCCGCGGUAAUUC
rnacentral:rRNA from 1 species